UUGUGCACCUACGCUGACUGGCUGGUAGGCACUUUUCUUUUAAUGGGGCAGCUUAGGAAAGAAAUCUUCAUUAGAUAUCACUGUCUUCAAAUGUCACGUGCUGAAGAAUAAGGAAUCAUAUUAGACUGACUUGCCAUCUGAGGCCGGCUGCUGGGAUCUGACUCUCCCCAAGAACACAAAUCAAUAGUCAACACAGAAACCACACUCCAAAGAGAAGCUGGUUCCAAGAGUGGCUAUUACUAUUUGCUUUCAAUUGAAUGUGCAAAGCCUCCCAUUUUGCCUUGAGGACCAUAGCAAAUACCUCCUUUCUGGAUGGACAAGGGAGACCCUUGUCAGCAAGAAUUGUGCUACAGUCUCCCAGCCUAACCACAAGGACACACAAGGACUAGAACAUUCGCUCUGCUUCUACACAGCAUUGGCAAGAGUUUGAACACCUCUUUCUCAAACCAACAGCAAGAGUUGCCCAGGAAGUGCAUUCACUAACAUACUCCCCUAAAUAUUCUUGUGUGAAAAGAAGAGAUAUGUUGCCAUGAAUGGGUCUUUCAGUUGGUAUUUGUAGGACUGCAAAGUUGCAAAGCUGGCAACAUGGUAAUAGCUUAGAGUGUUAAAUUUUGUGAUUUACUACUUGAUAUGGUAGCACAAAAUUAGAACUACAAGAAGAAUAAAGGCUUGGUCACCUUACCUGUAAGAUCUACUAAUGACAAUAACUUUAUAGAGAAAAUUGCUCCUCUUUAAGCAAUGCCUCAUCUGACUUGAUGCUCUCUGCUGCAGAAGGUGAAAUUGCAACAAUUACAAACUUGAUCUUGGCUGUGACCCCUGAAUUGACCUUUUGAAGGAACCUGGAUUAUGUCUGAAUCUAUUAUCUCUGCAAGGAGACCAGCUGUCUUCAGAAUUGCUUUUGGGGCCCCGUAAUGUCAUCGUGAAAUUGCAGACAUCCAAUCUGUCGGGAAAUGCUGUUGGCUCUCCAUCUGGAAUAUAUUCAGAGUUGAAGACUUUUCACCACCUCUUCUAAUAUCACCCUUGGGACACUUUGAUGGCUCCCUACAUCAGUCAUGGAACAUAGGAACCACGCUAG
rnacentral:lncRNA from 1 species